GAUGAACGCUGGCGGCGUGCUUAACACAUGCAAGUCGAACGGAAAGGCCCCAGCUUGCUGGGGUGCUCGAGUGGCGAACGGGUGAGUAACACGUAAGUGAUCUGCCCUGCACUGGGGGAUAAGCUUGGGAAACUGGGUCUAAUACCCUAUAGGACCGCAUCGUGGUUGGUGUGGUGGAAAGGUUUUUCUGGUGUGGGAUGAGCUUGCGGCCUAUCAGCUUGUUGGUGGGGUAAUGGCCUACCAAGGCGGCGACGGGUAGCCGGCCUGAGAGGGUGUGCGGCCACAUUGGGACUGAGAUACGGCCCAGACUCCUACGGGAGGCAGCAGUGGGGAAUUUUGCACAAUGGGCGGAAGCCUGAUGCAGCGACGCCGUGUGGGGGAUGAAGGCCUUCGGGUUGUAAACUCCUUUCGUCAGGGACGAAGUUUUUUUGACGGUACCUGGAUAAGAAGCACCGGCUAACUACGUGCCAGCCGCCGCGGUAA
rnacentral:rRNA from 1 species